rnacentral:tRNA from 1 species
AUCUAAGUAGUUUAAGUAAAAAUUUUGAUUUGUGGUGUCAAGAAUGUAGGAGGUAUACCUUAGGUU